AAUUGAGGUUUUGGGAAAUGGAGGGAAAAAUAGUAGAAUAAAUUGGGAUAAGAGGCAAAUGAGUGUUAUUAUAUUGAAGAAAAAAUUCUCUCUUUUUUGUUCUUACAAAUAAGUAAGGUAAUGAAAUGAUUUGAUAAAACUUCUAAGGAAACAGUUAAUAUUUUUGGGGAAUAACUGGGGGAAAUAAUUAGUGAUUAUCCUUACAAAUGUUAAAUUUUCUGUUUGAUAUUAAAAUGGAUUAGAUGGAAAACUUUAAAUAUAUGUUAUUGAUUUAGAGGCAGAGGAAGACGGAGGGAAGAAUGAAAGUGUCUAUGUGAUCUCUGGGCAGUUUUAAGAAAGAGAUUUUAGAUAGGAUGACCUCUGAUUAGUAAUGUAGAUAUAAAGCUGAGAGAGGUGAAAUUUUAAAAUGUUAAUAGAAUCUAUUAAUGAUGUUGAAGGGAAAUAAGUCCAGGGAUUAGACUUCAUUUAAAUAUUUUUCUGAAUGGGUUGAAUUUGAUUUACUUCUAUAAUCAGAUUUUGUGCAAAUAAAUAAUUGAAUUUAAAGAAUAAGAAGGAAAAUACAUUGUAUUAGAUUAUAACUUAGGUGGAUAUGUUUAAAGAUGUACCUGACCAAUAAUUUGUUCACAAUGAUUCUUUUUUAUUCUUGUAAAAAAAAUAAAAAUAUUUGGCAAAAAAAAAAGAGUCAAAGUCACAGGUGAAUUAUAAAACAGGGAAGACUAUUUCUCAUAUUGCAACAUUUGCUCUGGGAUGAGGGGGCAUAAUAUGGCAGAGGCAUUAUUGAUGCUUGAAUCCUGGUUUUUAGAGGUCAAGGCCAAUAGGAAUAGCAAUUGUGGAAAAGCUCCAGUUUCUGAAUCAUUUUCUAGUCUACAUGGAAUUCUACAUAAAAUAGAACACAGCAGGAUCUGUUUAGUGGGUUAAACUAAAAAAGAGGAAAUAAUAGAAGAUCAAACUCUUGGGAGGAAUAUGAAAUCAAUGUUCCCUUAUUCUUCUAAUCUCAUAGGAGCAAUCAGAUUUUAGAAUAGCUCAAGAACAGUUGUUUUUUUUUAAGGACAGAUUUGUAGUAUUUAGGACAAUAUUAAUCAUAUCAUUCUUUGUGGUUUGCAGACUUGGUCAUGAGCCAAUACAAGAAGAGGACAACAGACCUUUAACUCAUGAGGAGCUCAGAGAAAAAGUAAUAAAGGAGAUCCAAAGCAAGGCAGCAGCACUUUCUCUAAAGAAAAGCACGUAAUGUGCAGUUCAGUGACUGUAUCCUGGGAUUAACACACACAAGAAAUAACCUCAGGCCUCCAGACGUGAAUAGGAAUCUAACUGCAGCCUGGGCUACACCAGCCAAAAAAGAAAACUGAGGCAGAUUGCAUUCCAAGUGUGGUUCCUGAAACAUUUUUCUUUACACCAUUGCCCUCUGCCGCAUGCUUUCUCAUGUCUGGAAAGGCUGAGUGUAGCCUUCAUCCUGCAGGAUCCUUCACUCUGCUGUAGUCCAUGGAAAAUCUUCCUCCUGCUGGUGAAUUGUUCCUUUUCUGGGCUGCUUAUGUGAUCAGGACAGAUGUAUUGUGUCAGUGGUACAUAAUUCAUAGCUGUCAUACCAUCCAAGUUGUUUGCUUCCGUGCUGCCUGUUUGUUUAUACAGUAUGCCUUUAAUUUGACUCCACAUUCUCAUGCAAAGAGGGAACGCUUUGCAAAAUUUUUGCCUAUAGCAGUGGUAUUUUACUUUGCCACCAUUCCGAUGAAGGAAGCAAGAAUUUCCAGCUUCUAAAAUAAGAUCCUUUUGGGAAACAGGUGACCAAAUUUGCUAUAUUCCCCCAGCAGCAUUUUGUAUCUACAAUAGUUCUUUCUCCUGUUAGUCUCCUUAGCUGUCAGAAUGUUUGAGGCCCACAAGGGGUAUAUUGUGUCUUUUGAUGUAUCUGAGCAGAAAUUGGGUUUAUUUAAAGCACUUGGCCACAUCUUGAACGGGUGUUUCUUCAAAAAACAAAAAUAAAAAACAACUAGCAUGUUCCUCAAGUGUGGUUUUUUACCACAUGAUCAUCUGAGGCUGUAUCAGUCCCACACAAAGUUCCCAUUUACAACUGCCAGUUAGCGCUCCAUGCAUAAGUGGCAUAUGCAAAAGGUUUUCCCCCCCAAAGUAAAUUGAAAAAUACAUGAAAAUUGCAGUAAUCGAGGUAUGUGUCAGAGGAGAAGUUACUUCCCUGUAGUUAUCUUUUCAUUCUCUUUAAGCCCCCUUUUUGGGAGAAGUUUUUUU